GUGCUUGUAGCUCAAAGGAUAGAGUAACAGAUUACGAAUCUGAUGGUUGAAAGUUCAAGUCUUUCCAAGCGCG
rnacentral:tRNA from 1 species